rnacentral:rRNA from 1 species
UACAGAGGUCUCAAGCGUUGUUCGGAAUCACUGGGCGUAAAGGGUGCGUAGGCGGCGUGGUAAGUCAGUUGUGAAAGGCCGGGGCUCAACCCUGGUAUUGCAACCGAUACUGCCGUGCUGGAGUGUUGGAGGGGAGUCUGGAAUUCACGGUGGAGCAGUGAAAUGCGUAGAUAUCGGGAGGAACACCAGUGGCGAAGGCGAGUCUCUGGACAACAACUGACGCUGAGGCACGAAGGCUAGGGUAGCGAACGGG